ACGCACGCUGGCGGCGUGCUUAACACCUGCCAGUCGCACGAAGAGCGCUGGAAGCUUGCUUCUAUCAAUCUUAGUGGCGAACGGGUGAGUAACGCGUAAUCAACCUGCCCUUCAGAGGGGGACAACAGUUGGAAACGACUGCUAAUACCGCAUACGAUCUAACCUCGGCAUCGCGGAUAGAUGAAAGGUGGCCUCUAAAUGUAAGCUAUCACUGAAGGUGGGGAUUGCGUCUGAUUAGCUAGGUGGAGGGGUAACGGCCCACCAAGGCGAUGAUCAGUAGCCGGGCUGGGAGGAAGAACGGCCAAAUUGGGACUGAGACACGGCCCAGACUCCUACGGGAAGCAGCAGGGGGGAAUCUUCCGCAAUGGACGAAAGUCUGACGGAGGAACGCCGCGUGAGGGAUGACGGCCUUCGGGUUGUUAAGCUCUGUUAAUCGGGACGAAAGGCCUUCUUGCGAAUAGUGAGAAGGAUUGACGGUACCGGAAGAGAAAGCCACGGCUAACUACGUG
rnacentral:rRNA from 1 species